GACGAACGCUGGCGGUGUGCUUAAUACAUGCAAGUCGAACGUGAAGCUACCUUCGGGUAGUGGAAAGUGGCGGACGGGUGAGUAACACGUAGGUAAUCUGCCUUAAGGUGGGGGACAACGUUGGGAAACUGACGCUAAUACCCCAUAUGUGGCGAGCUGCAAUGCUCGUUAUGAAAGUUCCGGCGCCUUAAGAUGACCCUGCGGCUGAUUAGUUUGUUGGUGGGGUAAUGGCCUACCAAGACUAUGAUCAGUAGCUGGUCUGAGAGGAUGAUCAGCCACAAUGGGACGGAGACACGGCCCAUACUCCUACGGGAGGCAGCAGUAGGGAAUUUUGCGCAAUGGGCGAAAGCCUGACGCAGCAACACCGCGUGAGUGAUGAAGCAUCUUGGUGUGUAAAACUCUGUCAGAAGGGACGAAUCAAUGACGGUACCUUCAAAGGAAGCAUCGGCUAACUACGUGCCAGCAGCCGCCGUAACAC
rnacentral:rRNA from 1 species